rnacentral:misc_RNA from 1 species
GAUGAAGAACGCAGUGAAAUGCGAUAAGUAAUGUGAAUUGCAGAAUUCAGUGAAUCAUCGAAUCUUUGAACGCACAUUGCGCCCGCGAGUAUUCUCGCGGGCAUGCCUGUCCGAGCGUCAUUUCAACCCUCAGGGCCCGCCUGCUUCGGCAGGCGCGGCGCUGGUGUUGGGGAUCGGCCUAACCGCCGUCCCCCAAAUACAGUGGCGGUCUCGCUGCAGCCUCCCCUGCGUAGUAGCAACACUCGCAUGCGGAGCGCGGCGCGGCCACGCCGUAAAACCCCCGACUUUCUGAACGUUGACCUCGGAUCAGGUAGGAAUAUCCGCUGAACUUAAGCAUAUCAAUAAGCGGAGGA